rnacentral:rRNA from 1 species
UACAGAGGGGGCAAGCGUUGUUCGGAAUUACUGGGCGUAAAGGGCGCGUAGGCGGCCCGCUAAGUCGAACGUGAAAUCCCCAGGCUCAACCUGGGAACUGCGUCCGAUACUGGCAGGCUUGAAUCCGGGAGAGGGAUGUGGAAUUCCAGGUGUAGCGGUGAAAUGCGUAGAUAUCUGGAGGAACACCGGUGGCGAAGGCGGCAUCCUGGACCGGUAUUGACGCUGAGGCGCGAAAGCUAGGGGAGCGAACGGG